UCUGUUAUCAAAUAAGGUUAUAAUUAAAGAAUGGUGGUAGGAUAUAUAGCAUAUAUUAGGAUCUAUGAGUACUAGUUUCAAAUCUCCAAUGAAAUUGCUAAUAACCUAAUUAGUUAUUUAUUGUGUCCCAUACACUAUACCAAGAAUUUUAUAGGUAAUAUAUUCAAUCUGUGAAUUUUAUUGUAUACUUUAAUAUAUAUGAAUGUGAUCGAAAAUCUGGUUUUGUUUUUAUCUUUUAUUGAAAGUAGAUUUAUUUUUUCUUCAUGUAGUAUAUUCUAAUUAUGCUUUCUGCUCUCUCUACUCUUUCAGUUUAUCCCUAAUUCCCCUCCCUGGAUCCCUUUCAGUCACUCAAUAGAAGACAAACAGGCUUCUAAAGGAUAGUAAUAAAAUAACAUUAUGAUAAAACAAAAACUGAUGCAUUAGAAUUGGACAAAAAAAAAAAAAAAAAAAACAGAAGAAAGAGCCUAAGAGAAGGCACAGGAAAACUCACCCACUUAUUUGCAUGCUCAGGAAUUCCAUAAAAGCACUAAACAGAAGCCAUAAUCUAUAAACAAAGGACCUGCUGCAGACCCAUGUCGGCCUUGUGCUUGCUGACUUGUCUUUGAGUUCCUAUGCACUUUGAUCAUACUGACUUAGAAGGCUUGUAUUCUUGGCAUCCUCUUGUCUCUCUGGCUUGGACCCUUUCUCUGCACCCCUUUCACAGGCUUCUCGAGUCCUGAGAGGAGAGAUUUGAUGGCGAUACUUCAUUUAGAGCUGAUCAUUCAAAAGUCUGUCACUGUAAUGUCAGGCUGUGCUUCUCUGUAUGUGUUCCCUUCAGCUGCAGGAGGAGAGUGGGCCUUAAGUCAAAUCAGAUAUUGGUUGUUUACUCCCCACAAGCUUUUGGUCAGCAUUUCACUAGCAUAUCUUGCUGGCAGGACACCAUUGUUAAACCAAGAGUUUGUGGCUGGUUUGGUAUUUACAUCUCUCUUGGUAGCAUGCAAAGUACCUUCCUAUGACCAAGAUGCUGGAGUGUAGCAAGGAAGGCUCCAGGUACCAGCUGGACUUCUUUAAUUUCAGUGAGUUUUUCAGGUGUUGUUUUCAUCAAUAGGACCUUACUGGUCAGUUUGUGGAUAGCAACUUGAAGUCUUGGCAACAGGUUGGAUUGUUUGGGGGCUCACUUGGGACCCUUUUGGCCAACAACUCAAUUAUCUAUAAGCAGUCCCGGUAUUGGCAGCUUUAUUUGGUGACAAGAGUUGGUCAGCUGGACUCUGUGUCCCCCAUUAUUUGGCAAUUUUAUUUAACUCAUCUUCAUAUGUGUAUAUAUUUUAGAAAACUUCUACUGUAUUAGUCUUCCAUACUCUCAAAUGGCCCUUAACGUAGCCAUCUCUCCUAAUAUUUCCUUCCUCAUUCUCUUCUCUGCUCCCCAUCUCCACUUGGUUCUCCCAUUUGGCCAUUCCCCACCGCCAUUCAUACCUAUUUCCUGUUUCCCUUUCCUGUUAUCUGUUCAUCUGACCUAAACUCUAUGAUUCUGUAGAUUGCUGCUUGACUAUUAUUGACUUCAGGUAAUAUAUUUAAUUCUUUUAACAGGCAGCAAAAAAGCAUUAAGAAACAAGUAGGAAGUAUUUCCUCAUAUUUCUUUCUUCUUAUAAAUACAUAGGCAAUUUUCUGUGAAGAAUAUAAGAGUAAGUAAAUACCAUUCUUUUGCUCUAUCUUUAUAGCACUGGGAAAUAAAGGCCACAGACUUUCUCCAUAAAGCUAAAUACUAAAUAUAUUUUUGUGCUUCUGCACUUUUCCAGCCACAGUGUUCAUUGAUAUCACUAGUAAUCCAUUGUAGUCAUUUUUAUUACUAAGCAGCAAGCACUAGAGCUUGAGAGAUAGCCCCCGACCUGAGAGCCAGCUUUGUGCACUGCAUACUAUAGUACUCAGUUUUUGGGGAGCUACUCAGAUUCUGUGCUGUAUUUUUUUUUUAAUAAGGAAAACUGUUUGCUAAUGCUUUUCUUAGCAUUAUUUCGUGCUUUAAAUUUAGAACAUAUGAACUCUUAGCAUCUUGUGGAUAUUGAUUAACAUUUUCCUUUUAAUUUCUACUGUUUUUUUUUCCUUUAUAAAGUUAUAUAAUGACUUAUAACUGAUGAUCUGGUCUAAUUCAUCUAUUCUAACCUGUGCUUUUCUUAACAGUUAAAGAUAUUCUCUAAAAGUUGUGGAGAACAUGUUAUAGAGAAUGUCUAAUCCUUGUAUCUAGCAUACAGUCAAUUCAGGUUUUGCACAUUGACUUUUGGCAAUCUUUUACCAUUAAGACAACAAAAAUAUAUAUUUAGUCUUAAUUUCUUUUUUCUUAAGUUGGUAAUACUAUAAAAAUGCUUAAGGUCAUGGACUCUAGAGCUAAAUUUGUUGGAUGUGAAACAUUUUGAUUCAGUCUUAUUAAUAAAAUGGACCUAAUAAAAGUAACUUUCUCAGUUUUUUGUGUGUAUAUAUGUAUGUGUGUGUAUACACACAUAUACACAUUUGUAUAUAUAUAUAAUAUGCACUUAUUAUAAUAUAAAGAUAAUAUUAAGUAAUUUACGCAGUUUGACUUGUAAUUCUUUUAUUUCAUUAAGAAUAAAACAUCCAGUUUAAUUUCUUUCGAGUAGUUCUCCCCAUUGUCAUAAAGAGACUGAGAUACAGAAAUGUUGAGUACUUUUUUAAAGAAUGACAAUAAAAGAAACGAAUAUAGGAAUGCAAAAAUAGUCCUUGUGUCAGAGUAUUCAUGAUCCAAGCUAUUUUCUGUGUUUUAUUGAGAAUUCAAAAAGCCUAUCAGUUAGCAAAAUAAAUCAUCUUUAGAAAUUUCAUUGUUUUGUGUUGGUGUCUUCUUAUUUAAGACUGAUCCGCUCAGUGGUUGUGUGGGAUAACGUGAAUUAAUUGAAUGAGUCUAAUUAAAGUCAAAUGCUGUCCUAGCUAUCCCUUAGGAUACUUCAGGGUUGAGUAUUUUAUCUUGAUCAUCAAAUAUCUUUCCCCUCUUUUAUGAACUAGGUCAAAACUUUCUUAUUCCUAAUGAUGUCAGUACUCCAGUUCCCGUACUUCCUCUAUGGAUUCAAAAGGAUUUUGUGAACUCUCCUAGAUGCAUCUCAGUACUUUUUUCUGUGAACAGUGAUACCCAGUUUAAAGGAUGUGCCAUUAUAAAAUAUUUUUUAAAACCUCUAGGUUUAUGAGAUAAAUACUGUAUUUUUGUUAAGGCAUUAGGGAACAGUUUGUUUUAAAGUAUUCUGCUUUCUCAUAUCCUGUAUAAUUCAUUAGUUUAAGAAUGUGAUAAACUGAGAACCAGAAGAAAAACACUUCAACACUGAAAGACUUAAGAGAAAACCAUGUCUAAGAGAAUUGUAGAUGGUUGCUUAGAUAAGAAAGGAAGGAAGGAAGGAAGGAAGGAAGGAAGGAAGGAAGGAAGGAAGGAAGAAAGAAAGAGAGAGAGAAAGAGAAAGUGAAAGAAAGAGAGUAUACAAUUUCAUAUAGCUUCAUCAGACACACAUAUUUAGAUAUGCACUUACAUGUGCCUGAGCACACACACAAAAAGGUAUGAUGAAUUGUCUCUUUAAAAGUAACAAACAGGAGCUAGGAAUGAAAUGUAAUGGUAGACCAUUGCCCAGAAUGACUGAGACCCUUGGUUUAAUCUACAAAAGUACAAGAAAAAAAGUAAAGUUUAGUUUUAGAGUCUAAUUAACAAGGCAACAUUAUUGAAAACUUUUACACAUACAAAAACUUAAAAUGUGCAUAUUUUUGGUGUGUGUGUGAUCAAGCCCACUCAGUCAACAGGUUCUCCAGCACGGGAGUGAGGAUU
rnacentral:lncRNA from 1 species